UUCGGGUCGUAAAGCUCUGUCCUAAGGGAAGAUAGUGACGGUACCUUAGGAGGAAGCCCCGGCUAACUACGUGCCAGCAGCCGCGGUAAUACGUAGGGGGCAAGCGUUAUCCGGAAUUACUGGGCGUAAAGGGUGCGUAGGCGGUCUAAUAAGUCAGAGGUGAAAGACUAUUGCUCAACGAUAGCAAGCCUUUGAAACUAUUGGACUUGAGUGCAGGAGAGGAGAGUGGAAUUUCUAGUGUAGCGGUGAAAUGCGUAGAUAUUAGAAGGAACACCAGUGGCGAAGGCGACUCUCUGGACUGCAACUGACGCUGAGGCACGAAAGCGUGGGGAGCAAACAGGAUUAGAUACCCUGGUAGUCCACGCCGUAAACGAUGAGUGCUAGGUGUCGGGGGUCAAACCUCGGUGCCGGAGCUAACGCAAUAAGCACUCCGCCUGGGGAGUACGCUCGCAAGAGUAAAACUCAAAGGAAUUGACGGGGACCCGCACAAGCAGCGGAGCAUGUGGUUUAAUUCGAAGCAACGCGAAGAACCUUACCUAAACUUGACAUCCUUUUGACGAGACCUUAAUCGGUUUUUUCCUUCGGGACAAAAGAGACAGGUGGUGCAUGGUUGUCGUCAGCUCGUGUCGUGAGAUGUUGGGUUAAGUCCCGUAACGAGCGCAACCCUUGUCUUUAGUUGCCAGCAAGUAAAGUUGGGCACUCUAGAGAGACUGCCGUGGAUAACACGGAGGAAGGUGGGGAUGACGUCAAAUCAUCAUGCCCCUUAUGUUUAGGGCUACACACGUGCUACAAUGGCCAAUACAGAGGGCAGCAAGAGGGCGACCUUAAGCGAAUCCCUUAAAGUUGGUCCCAGUUCGGAUUGGAGGCUGAAACUCGCCUCCAUGAAGCUGGAGUUGCUAGUAAUCGCGGAUCAGAAUGCCGCGGUGAAUGCGUUCCCGGGUCUUGUACACACCGCCCGUCACACCACGGAAGUUGGAGGCACCCGAAGUCAGAGCAAUCUGCCGAAGGUGAAAUCAAUGACUGGGGUG
rnacentral:rRNA from 1 species